rnacentral:lncRNA from 1 species
AAAAUUUAAAUAGCAUAGGAUCACAUGUUGACAAUUAAGCAUGCAUUUACCAGCAAAAUUCAAUCCGUUACCUUGGUUCGUGCUUUGGGAAGCCAUUUCUGCUCUCCUUUGAUAUCCAAUAAUCUGCUUUCCGAGUGCGUGAUGGUCCGAGAAUGAGCGAUCAAUGAACUCUUCCCUUGUCUCCCAAAAUUCAGUCCAGUGGAGUGUGUGAGUGUGUGGCCGGGAGUGUUCUUCAAAGAGAACAAAAGAGAGAGUCGUCCACCUCCAAAAGCACACACCUCUAUAUAUAUAUCACACACAUUAUUUGGACCACCACUUGACUUAAUGGGCCAGUCAAGUGAAUUAGGGUGAGCCCAUAAAAAAUCAAGCAACAAUAUGUGUCCAGUCCCAUUAUGGACCACAAUGCAAAAAUAAAUAACACUGAUUUAUGACAUUAUUAAAUUGAUUAUGUAAGUCCACACAUAAAAAUUCCAACAAUCUCCCACUUGGACUACAUAAUCAAACAUUACAACAUACACAUAAUCAUAAAUCAAUGUCCCAUAGAAUCUCAUCAGAAAUAAAUAAUCAAAAGCAAUCAUAUAUGCUUCAUUGCUUGAUUCAUAGGGAAAUGUACAAUAAUAGCAAUCCUUUCAACAAUAACAUAGUAUUACAAUACCAAAAAAAUGGCUCCCACUAACUUAAUACAACCUAGGCUUCCAACAACCCCAUUUGAGAUACAUGUUCUUGAAACGCAAUUAUGGGUAAGCCUUUUGUUAAUGGAUCCGCCAACAUACUUUUUGUGGACAUGUGUUCAAUAUCAAUAAGAGACUCUGCCACUUUCUCCUUAACAAAAUAGAACUUUACAUCAAUAUGUUUGGAGCGAGAAAUACUCCUAGUGUUCUUAGAGAAAGCAACAGCUGCGGAAUUAUCACAAAAUAAUUUCAGCGGUCUAGAAAUGGAGUCAACAACUCCUAAAGCUGAAAUAACUCCUAAAGCUGAAAUAAAAUUCCGCAUCCACAUAGCAUGACAACAAGCCUCAUAACAUGCCACAUACUCUGCCUCCAUAGUUGAGGAUGCUGUAAGUGUCUGCUUGACACUUUUCCAAGAUACAGCUCCUCCUGCCAUCAUAAAAAUAUAGCCCGUAGUGGAUUUCUUAUCAUCUAUGCAGCCAGCAAAAUCAGCAUCACAAAACCCAACUACAUCAAGUAAGCUGGUGCGCUGAUAUGUCAACAUUAAGUCCUUAGUUCCUUGCAAAUACCUAAGGACCUUCUUAGCUGCUUUCCAAUGUUGACUCCCAGGAUUGCUCAAGUACCUUCCCAACAUGCCCACAACAAAAGCAAUAUCAGGGCGUGUACAUACUUGAGCAUACAUAAGGCUGCCCACCACAGAUGAAUAAGGAAUGGUCUUCAUUUCCUCUCUCUCAUCAUCAUUUUGAGGACACUGAGCCUUUGAAAAUUUAUCACCCUUCACAAUUGGCGUUUUAGUAGAUUUACAGUUGUGCAUAUUGAACCUCUUCAAUAUCCUUUCAAUAUAGGCUCUUUGAGACAAUUUAAGCACUCCAUUAGCCCUAUCACGAAGAAUCUUUAUGCCCAAGACAUAAGAAGCCUCACCAAGAUCCUUCAUGUCAAAAUGGGUUGACAACAUGUGCUUUGUCUCAAUCAACAAGUCAGGAUCAUUUGAUGCGAGUAGUAUAUCAUCAACAUAUAAAACAAGAAAUAUGUAACUACUCCCACUGACCCUCAAAUAUAUGCAUCUGUCAACUGUAUUCUCUUUAAAACCAUUUUGGGUGAUAAUACUAUCAAACUUCAGAUACCACUAAAUCUUUCAUCAACAGAGCUCACAUCUUCAAAAUAUACAACCCUGUCUAACUCAAUGAUCCUAGUGGUAUGAGAUGGACAAUAAAAUCUGGAACCCCUUGAUCCAAUGCAAUAGCCAACAAAGAAACCACUAAUGGUUUUAGGAUCAAGUUUCUUUGACUGUGGGUUAUAGGGCCUGACCACGCUUCCGCUGCGCAUAGCUUAUAAGGUGUCUUAAGCACAGACUUACUGGGCACUUGAUUCAAAAUAUAUGCCGCAGUCCUUAAGGCUUCACCCCAUAGAAAUUCUAGUAAGGAGGAAUUGGACAACAUGCACCUCACCAUCUCUAACCAAUCUCUCUAAUAAUUGCCUAGAAAUAUGACCUAGGCGUUUGUGCCACAAUAUGGAAGAACUCAAAUUUACUUGGCUUAUCAACUCUCAAAGCCCAGUCCAAAAUGUGCAUAGCCAUAUGCACAUUGAAAGACUCAAAACAUUCCUCAAAAUUAUUCCAGUAAGAGGUUUGAUGGCAGACAAUUGCAGAGUAAUACCAGGAUUGCUUGUAGCUGGAAAAUAGCAAAAUUCAACAGUAUGCAUGUUAUUACAAUAUCAUGCAUUUGCUAAUUUCCAUAAUUUCUCAAUUUAGCAAUAGCUUGGAUUUUUUAAAAAAUUCCACGGCGGUAAGGACAACUAAUUAAAUAUUACAACCAAAAUGUACUAAUUUUAUUACCGAAAGGGCAAAGAAAAUUAGUACAGUUCAUAAUAUACAAUUAAUUUCCUUCACCAAUCUAAGCAUCCUACCAAGCAUUGUUAUCAUCGAUAGGACAAUUACAAUACCCGUAUGGACCUUAGUUAUCACAAUAAUAAAACAAUCAAAUGUGGGAGUUAAAUUAUCUCAACAAGGACAAUUUGACACAUAUAGGAUCACGAUAGGCAAUCACACAUAUGUUCACUAUUGUCAUGAAUAAAAUUCAAAAUAUCUCAAUUUUCACAAUUUGACACACUUGGAAUUGCGAUAGGCAAUCACACAAGUGUGCUUCAUUGCCUCAAUAAAUUGAAAUAUUUAACAAAAUUGACAUAGGACAACAUUAUUGAUAUAAGGAAAAAUUAUACCAUAAAUAACAAUAAUAAUAAUAAUUGUCCCAAUAAAGUCAAAAUUUAACAAAUGCAUAAAAAAUUCUAGCAUAUGCACAAUCAAUCCAAGAAUACCAAGGCAACAAACAAACAAAAAAAAAAAAAAUUUUUGGUUUUUUUUUUUUUUUUAUGACGUCAUGAUGACGUCAUCACGUCACUAUUCAUCUCCUUCUCCAGCUGAACACGGCCUGGUGCAGGAGAAAAAAAAAAUUUUCCUUUUUCGGCCAAAAUUUUGGGCAUUUUCCGACAAAAAACGCUUAGAUUUCCAUCCUCAAACAUCAAACCUUCAAUCUAAUCCCAAAAUUUGCACAAAAAACGCAUAAUAGGAAGAACCAAAGCAAGCCCUAAUUCUCGAAAUCCCACCAAACAAGCUCCAAAAAUCAAAUAAAAUGAUGGGUUUUGCUCCAAACAAUAUUCUCUACAAGUUUCCAACAACAAUCGGGCUUGAAAACAGAGAAUCAACAUCAAACGAGAAAUAAAAUUCCAAAAAAAUGGCUUCCACCACAGGAAACGGGAAACCCAAAAAUUAACCCAAAAUUGCAGCUCAAAUGUCAAUCAUGCAUGCUCUGAUACCAAUUGAUGAAAAUUUAAAUAGCAUAGGAUCACAUGUUGACAAUUAAGCAUGCAUUUACCAGCAAAAUUCAAUCCGUUACCUUGGUUCGUGCUUUGGGAAGCCAUUUCUGCUCUCCUUUGAUAUCCAAUAAUCUGCUUUCCGAGUGCGUGAUGGUCCGAGAAUGAGCGAUCAAUGAACUCUUCCCUUGUCUCCCAAAAUUCAGUCCAGUGGAGUGUGUGAGUGUGUGAGUGUGUGGCCGGGAGUGUUCUUCAAAGAGAACAAAAGAGAGAGUCGUCCACCUCCAAAAGCACACACCUCUAUAUAUAUAUAUCACACACAUUAUUUGGACCACCACUUGACUUAAUGGGUCAGUCAAGUGAAUUAGGGUGAGCCCAUAAAAAAUCAAGCAACAAUAUGUGUCCAGUCCCAUUAUGGACCACAAUGCAAAAAUAAAUAACACUGAUUUAUGACAUUAUUAAAUUGAUUAUGUAAGUCCACACAUAAAAAUUCCAACAUUCUAUAGUUCCAUCAAAGAUUCAAAAAAUAAAAAGAUUCUAGAUGAAUGGUGAACCUUGAUGUCACACGGUAGAAACAGAUUUCUCUCCCCAAGAAAUGGUUAAAAA